GAGUAAAAGUCGUAACAAGGUCUCCGUAGGUGAACCUGCGGAGGGAUCAUUACAGAGUUCAUGCCCUACCGGGUAGAUCUCCCACCCUAUGUUAUUAUUACUUUGCUGCUUUGGCGGGCCGUUAGGCUCCGGCCCGACUACCGGCCCCGGCUGGUAAGCGCCCGCCAGAGGACCCAAAACCCUGAAUAUUAGUGUCGUCUGAGUACUAUAUAAUAGUUAAAACUUUCAACAACGGAUCUCUUGGUUCUG
rnacentral:misc_RNA from 1 species